rnacentral:rRNA from 1 species
AGUGAACGCUGGCGGUAGGCCUAACACAUGCAAGUCGAACGGCAGCACAGUAAGAGCUUGCUCUUACGGGAGGCGAGUGGCGGACGGGUGAGGAAUACAUCGGAAUCUACUUUUUCGUGGGGGAUAGCGUAGGGAAACUUACGCUAAUACCGCAUACGACCUACGGGUGAAAGCAGGGGAUCUUCGGACCUUGCGCGAUUGAAUGAGCCGAUGUCGGAUUAGCUAGUUGGCGGGGUAAAGGCCCACCAAGGCGACGAUCCGUAGCUGGUCUGAGAGGAUGAUCAGCCACACUGGAACUGAGACACGGUCCAGACUCCUACGGGAGGCAGCAGUGGGGAAUAUUGGACAAAGGGCGCAAGCCUGAUCCAGCCAUACCGCGUGGGUGAAGAAGGCCUUCGGGUUGUAAAGCCCUUUUGUUGGGAAAGAAAAGCAGCAGGUUAAUACCCCGCUGUUCUGACGGUACCCAAAGAAUAAGCACCGGCUAACUUCGUG